GUGAAACGGUGGGGUAAGAGCCCACCGCGCCCCUGGCAACAGGGGCGGCACGGCAAGCCCCACCGGGAGCAACGCCAAAUAGGGCCCCCGCGCGGGCAGGUCCCGGCAACGGGAUACCGCCGCUAGGCAUGCUUUAGCCAAGAGGGGCCGGGUUGGCAGCUAGAGGUACGCAGCAAUGCGUAUCGCAGAUGAAUGGCCGUCCAUGAGGCGCAAGUCUCGGGACAGAAUCCGGCUUACAGGCCCUC
rnacentral:ribozyme from 1 species